rnacentral:rRNA from 1 species
GAUGAACGCUGGCGGCGUGCCUAAUACAUGCAAGUCGAGCGAACAGACGAGGAGCUUGCUCCUCUGACGUUAGCGGCGGACGGGUGGGUAACACGUGGAUAACCUACCUAUAAGACUGGGAUAACUUCGGGAAACCGGAGCUAAUACCGGAUAAUAUAUUGAACCGCAUGGUUCAAUAGUGAAAGACGGUUUUGUUGUCACUUAUAGAUGGAUCCGCGCCGCAUUAGCUAGUUGGUAAGGUAACGGCUUACCAAGGCAACGAUGCGUAGCCGACCUGAGAGGGUGAUCGGCCACACUGGAACUGAGACACGGUCCAGACUCCUACGGGAGGCAGCAGUAGGGAAUCUUCCGCAAUGGGCGAAAGCCUGACGGAGCAACGCCGCGUGAGUGAUGAAGGUCUUCGGAUCGUAAAACUCUGUUAUUAGGGAAGAACAAAUGUGUAAGUAACUAUGCACGUCUUGACGGUACCUAAUCAGAAAGCCACGGCUAACUACGUG